GAUGAACGCUGGCGGCGUGCCUAAUACAUGCAAGUCGAGCGAACGGACGAGAAGCUUGCUUUUCUGAUGUUAGCGGCGGACGGGUGAGUAACACGUGGAUAACCUACCUAUAAGACUGGGAUAACUUCGGGAAACCGGAGCUAAUACCGGAUAAUAUUUUGAACCGCAUGGUUCAAAAGUGAAAGACGGUCUUGCUGUCACUUAUAGAUGGAUCCGCGCUGCAUUAGCUAGUUGGUAAGGUAACGGCUUACCAAGGCAACGAUGCAUAGCCGACCUGAGAGGGUGAUUGGCCACACUGGAACUGAGACACGGGCCCGAAUCCUAAGGGAAGGAACAGUAGGGAAAUCUUCGGCAUUGGGCGAAAGCCUACGGAGGAAACGCCGCGUGAGUGAGGAAGGUCUUCGGUUCGUAAAACUCGUUUAUAGGGGAAAAACAUAUGUGUAGUUAACUGUGCACAUCUGGCCGUUACCUAAUCAGAAGGCCACGCUAAAUUACUU
rnacentral:rRNA from 1 species